rnacentral:rRNA from 1 species
UACAGAGGUCUCAAGCGUUGUUCGGAUUCAUUGGGCGUAAAGGGUGCGUAGGCGGCGCGGUAAGUCGGUGUGAAAUCUUGGAGCUUAACUCCGAAACUGCAUUCGAUACUGCCGUGCUUGAGGACUGGAGAGGAGACUGGAAUUUACGGUGUAGCGGUGAAAUGCGUAGAUAUCGUAAGGAAGACCAGUGGCGAAGGCGGGUCUCUGGACAGUUCCUGACGCUGAAGCAACGAAAGGCCAGGGGAGCAAACGGG